rnacentral:misc_RNA from 1 species
GCUACCACUUCUCUCAUCCUGCUGCUUCUCCUUAACUUUGUGCUUCUGACGUUUAUGGCGAUGACUCUUACUUCGGUCCUUUUCCUUGGUCUUCUUAGGUCUGUCCUUUUUCUUGUGCCUCUUUGAAUGAUUUGAUGUUUCAUGCUCACUGUCAGAUGAACUGUCACUCCUUGAGUAGUAAGAAUCAGAGGAGGAAUCAUAAGAAUCCGAGGAGUGGUGGCGUUUACGGCGUCGUUUGGAGUCGGACUUACUACUCUUCUUCCGGAUCUUAAGAGCCUCUUUAUUUCUGUCCCUGUCUCGGCGGUUGCGGUGACGGCGACGGUACCGAGACGAGGAUGAGUCCGACGAUGAGGCCGAAUCGGAUGUGUGGGAGGAAAUAGAAGACGAUGAGACGGCCAUUAAUCAGAGAAGGAGAGAGAAGGACGACGAAAGGGUUUUGCUUAAGAUUUGUGAGAUUUG